AUUGAACGCUGGCGGCAGGCCUAACACAUGCAAGUCGAACGGUAACAGGAAACAGCUUGCUGUUUCGCUGACGAGUGGCGGACGGGUGAGUAAUGUCUGGGAAACUGCCUGAUGGAGGGGGAUAACUACUGGAAACGGUAGCUAAUACCGCAUAACGUCGCAAGACCAAAGAGGGGGACCUUCGGGCCUCUUGCCAUCGGAUGUGCCCAGAUGGGAUUAGCUAGUAGGUGGGGUAACGGCUCACCUAGGCGACGAUCCCUAGCUGGUCUGAGAGGAUGACCAGCCACACAGGAACUGAGACACGGUCCAGACUCCUACGGGAGGCAGCAGUGGGGAAUAUUGCACAAUGGGCGCAAGCCUGAUGCAGCCAUGCCGCGUGUAUGAAGAAGGCCUUCGGGUUGUAAAGUACUUUCAGCGGGGAGGAAGGGAGUAAAGUUAAUACCUUUGCUCAUUGACGUUACCCGCAGAAGAAGCACCGGCUAACUCCGUG
rnacentral:rRNA from 1 species